rnacentral:lncRNA from 1 species
CAAACGGAAAGUCUACUGAUUGUAAAAGAAUUGAGUUUAAGAAAAACAAAAUGGAAGUUGCUUACAGAAGAAUUUAAUCAGCUUUUAAAAUAUGAUUGCAUCUGGAAAGUGGGAAGAACAGAGAGAGACGUGAGCUGCUGUUUUUCAUUGUAAAUGUUUCAAAACAAUCGGAUGCCUUCAUGUGACUGUUUAACCGCUAGAGAGGCUGAAAGCCUGAUGACUUCUGGUUUUUAAUUGCAUCCAUUUUAAGGAUCAUGCCUUAAGUUAGUGGCUUAACACUGCCCAUUGAAAAGUAAAAAUACUGUCCUGUCGUUGGAAGUUCAAGACAUAGAGAGUGUGGACGGUGAACAUGGACAAAGAGGGAAAUACAAAGCUAAAAGGCCAAGAAGCUUCGAAUGGGUGGUGGAGUUAUGUGUUUUAAAGCUAAUACUUGUCAAUGUGUGCCUAUACUGCAAUGCACUGCGGGAGUGCGGACACUGAAGGAUUGUGUGUAGAGAUACAGUUCUUUUUUUAGAAUGAGACUGUACAUUUUAUGGUACA